rnacentral:rRNA from 1 species
ACGAUGCCGUAGACCCGAAACCGGGAGAUCUAGCCAUGUCCAGGGCGAAGGCCGGGUAACACCGACUGGAGGCCCGAACCCACGCAAGUUGAAAAUUGCGGGGAUGAGGUGUGGGUAGGGGUGAAAUGCCAAUCGAACUCGGAAAUAGCUGGUUCUCCCCGAAAUAGCUUUAGGGCUAGCCUCGAGUGAUGAGUCUUGGAGGUAGAGCACUGAUUGGACGAGGGGUCCCCACAGGAUUACCGAAUUCAGUCAAACUCCGAAUGCCAAUGACUUUAACUCGGGAGUCAGACUGCGAGUG